rnacentral:rRNA from 1 species
UACGUAGGGGGCUAGCGUUGUCCGGAAUCAUUGGGCGUAAAGCGCGUGUAGGCGGUCCGGUAAGUCCGCUGUGAAAGUCGGGGGCUCAACCCUCGAAUGCCGGUGGAUACUGUCGGGCUAGAGUGCGGAAGAGGCGAGUGGAAUUCCUGGUGUAGCGGUGAAAUGCGCAGAUAUCAGGAGGAACACCGGUGGCGAAGGCGGGUCUCUGGACAGUUCCUGACACUGAGACACGAAGGCCAGGGGAGCAAACGGG